AAACCGACGGCGCGCGCGCUGAUUGGUUGAACCCAGCAAACUUCCGGCCGAGCGACUUCCGCCCGUUGGAACGUUGCGUUUCAAGUGUGUACUGCGUGCCUCGGUUGCCUCGGUCGUCGGAAUUACGUUAACGUGUUUUUUCUUCGCUCUCUGGAAGCGGUUCUCAAUGUCUAGUGAGUACUUCAAGCAGCUCGACGCCGAAGCUCGUCAACGGUAUCGGCAGAAGCUCACGUUCGAGGGCCAAGAGCUACCCGAUCCACUAGACUCUGAUGUGGUGCAGUUCAGCUUCUCGUCGGGCUGUAAGAACAUUCCACCAGUGUCCGCAGCGGAUAUUUUUGUUUAUCUGGUUGAGGGUGUAUGCUUCUACACCAAAGAACAAUUUAAGAACUUCAAGCUAAGUGACGCGUACAAUUUAUUCGUGAACGGCAAGGUGAAGCGCGUCUCGUCUUUUAAGGCUGGCAAAUGCGGCAGAGGUGUCGUCCUCAUCGUGGCAUCUGUGGAGGCGAGCCAAACCCUUUCUAAGACGUACCAGUCUUGGUGUGUGGUGAGGGGCGACGGUGCCGUUGCAAGUGCUCACUGCACGUGCAUAGCUGGUCUUGGAGAAUGCUUUACCCAUGUUGCUGCCUUGCUUUUUAAUGUGGAGGCAACUGUCAGGUACGGCCUUGACAAGCAUUCACCAACAGAUACUGCCUGUGGGUGGAUUGAGGUGACCAAGAAAGCUGCAGUAGGCGGCUCCAGUUAGUGACAUUAUUUUUCAAGCCGAAAAUUCGUCAAGGUGUACCAGAUGAAAUACCAAGGCCCGAGGAAGCUGUACCCACUUGGAGUACAGAGCAACUGCACAGCUUGUUUAAUCAAGUAAAGUCACUUGCACCAAGCACACUGCUCAUCAGCUCGAUUUCUGAUAGCGAGGAAGCUUAUUCUUCCCCAGAAACAAGUGAAAAAGGCCCUGUGCAGGCAGUGAACCAGCAACUGGCAACACAGCUUCCAGUUGGAGGCAUGUACUCUGGCAUUGACGCAACGGCAGCCAAGGAACUGCGCUUGUCAAAGGAAAGCUAGGACGUCAAGCCAGGAAUGGAAAACGGGAGCUCACAGUAGCUGACGAUAUGCCGAAUCUUCCAGCCAAGUCCUGUGUCAGCAAGCCAAGCCGCAGCCUCAUUAAUACCAAAAUAAACUGCUGGGUAUGACUGAGGCGAGUCAUGGAUGGAGGAUGCCGAAUGGACAACAUCUGCAGUAACGAGUUAAACAUGGCAAUGGAUACUAGCCCUGUGUGAAAUUUUACAGUCUUGUUUGUUUUUGUAACGAUGCCCUCAGUAACUUUUGCAUGGUCCAGUGGCACUUUAAGCUUUUCUAGCGUGGCAAUUUGGUUUUUGGCGGCUUCCAACUCUAGCUCUAAACAUCUCACAUGCUUUUUGUAUUUUUUGUUCUCCAGAAUUUGCACUGAAAUAUCUUGUAUUGAAAGAAUGGUCUCUGUUGAAGCAUUGCAUGCUACUUCAACGUCCACUGCCCCAUUGCUGCUGUCGGAACCUGCAUUAUCGCUUGUCUGAGAACCAGCUGAAGCAACGGCAUCCACUUGAGCAGCACAUCUCUUGUUAGUGCGCUGGAAACGAUCAAGCUUCUGCUGCAAGUUUCCAUGAGUACGGUGUGGGAACAAUGUUGGAAUGUAGUCUGGGUGACUUGGAUCGGAUGAUGGUUUACCUGCAGAGCACAUUGACAGAGAAUAAAAAAAACUGCUGAAUUAAUCACAAAGAAAUGGAACUUGGUCACUCUUCCCUAAAGCAGCAAAUUAAAAGCAUUGAACUAUUAAAAAAGGGGGCAUCAGUCGCAAGGAACAAUUGUUUAUUUUUGCAAGAGUUUGUGUGCAAAUUCUGCCAUGCAACUUAAAUCAGUAAGGCUGAUUGUGUGCUGAUAAAUUAUAAAUCUACAAUAAAGGCAUACGACUGUUUAGUUGGCAAAGUUUGCCUUCAUUAUUAAGCUUUGAUGUUUUGGUUGUUCAAAACAAGAGGCUAUCAAUGUGGAAACUUACUUAAAGCACUUAGUAAGAGAUGUAUAUUUCUACCUAGUGUUUGCACAUCUUCAUGGAUUGAUCUCUCAUUUCAAAUGAAACAGCAGACAGCUUUACUCAUGAAGCUUAAAUGCUAUCACAGAGAAAUGAAUUAACACUUUUGAAUAAUCUCCUUUAUGAAAACUUGCUACGCCGUUCUUUAACUGAUGUAGAAAUGUAAUAAGUGGUUUUACAUCUUAUUUAUGAAAUGCUUAAUUCAUAUAACAUUAAACAAACGUUC
rnacentral:lncRNA from 1 species